CCUACGGGAGGCAGCAGUAGGGAAUCUUGCGCAAUGGGGGAAACCCUGAAGCAGCAACGCCGCGUGGAGGAUGGAGGUUUUCGGAUUGUAAACUCCUUUUGUUAGGGAAGAUAAUGACGGUAUCUAACGAAUAAGCACCGGCUAACUCCGUGCCAGCAGCCGCGGUAAUACGGAGGGUGCAAGCGUUACUCGGAAUCACUGGGCGUAAAGAGCGCGUAGGCGGGAUAGCAAGUCAGAUGUGAAAUCCUAGGGCUUAACCAUAGAACUGCAUUUGAAACUGUUAUUCUAGAGUAUGGGAGAGGUAGGUGGAAUUCUUGGUGUAGGGGUAAAAUCCGUAGAGAUCAAGAGGAAUACUCAUGGCGAAGGCGACCUGCUAGAACAUAACUGACGCUGAUGCGCGAAAGCGUGGGGAGCAAACAGGAUUAGAUACCCUUGUAGUC
rnacentral:rRNA from 1 species